GGAAUUAUCCAAGCAAACUUUUAGUUUGAACAGACGACUGGACGAAAAUAUGAAACGCACCGUUGGGUCUUGUGUUCUGUUGCUUCUGAUAAUAGCGAAACUCAAUGCUCAAACUACCAGCCCUUCAUCUAAGGUAUCAAAGCAGGAGGUGAAAGAUGCGUUGGCAGUUUAUACACGCGAUCGUGGCCUCUUAAAAAUAAUUGAUGACGAUUGCUACUGUUGCAAAACACUUAAGUGCAUGAUGGGAGAGGAAAAAGAAUGCGACUACGUCGGUGAUACUAUAAAAGGUAUUGCUCAGCUUAUGUUGAAAAAUGAUUGCCCGAUGUGCCAGGGUAAAGAAAAGGAUAUUUUCAAUAUCGUGAAGCGAUAUAUGAGCCAGCAAUUUCCCAUUGAAUGGGCGAAAAUUUUGAAAUUGUAUGGUUGAUUAUAAAUGAAAUGAAUAAUCUUGAUGUUCAAAUUGCGUGCCCAACAUGCAUCAAAUAUACAGAAAUAGUUUAAUCAAUUUCUCAGGAAUAUGUGAUGCUUGAAUCGAUUAAUUGUUGAAUAAAUUAUGAUAUAAAAUUCAUCAAUAAUUUUUAGCUACUAUAAUUUUAAUUGGAAACACAUGCAUAUUUAUUCUGUGUCAACAACCACAAACCACGACAUAUAUUAUAUUAUCAGCACAUCAUAUCCUUUCGUAACAGAUAAUGCCGCCAGUUUAGAAGGGAAAGCCAAUUUAGUAGAAAUACUGUGAAAGGGCUUAAAUCAAAAUGAAGUACCUACUUUUUGUCACUGUUGUUUCGGUUCUUUUCGGUUGCUGUUUAAAUUUUGAAGAAGCUGCAACUGAUUCGGAAAAAGUAGUCCAAACGGUAACCAAGGAGAUGGUGAAGAUAUCAUUAGCGAAACACACACGCGAUUCUGCGCUUUUAAGGCUUGUGGAUGACGACUGCUUUCUUUGCAAACAACUCAAAUGCAUCACUCUUGAAGAGCCUUGCACUCAUUUUCUUGGACAAACAUUUAAAAGUGUUGCCCCAUUGGUUUUGAAAAAUAAUUGCAAAAAUUGCUCACCGACCGAACAAGACCUCGUGCGGAUCACAACUUUAUACAUCAGUCAACGUUUUCCUAGUGAAUGGAAAAAAAUCUUGAAGCUGUAUACUUAGGAAUAGUGUUGGUAAUUAAUUUGUCAACGCUUAUUGUCUUAAAACGUCAAUACAGAGCAGAAUUUAAUAAUAAAUA